rnacentral:tRNA from 1 species
UGCGGGAUAGUUUCUGCUGGUAGAAAUGCAUGGCUUUGACCCAUGAGUUCGCAGGUUCGAAUCCUGCUCCCGCAA